GAUGCAACGCGAAGAACCUUACCUGGUCUUGACAUCCACGGAAGUUUUCAGAGAUGAGAAUGUGCCUUCGGGAACCGUGAGACAGGUGCUGCAUGGCUGUCGUCAGCUCGUGUUGUGAAAUGUUGGGUUAAGUCCCGCAACGAGCGCAACCCUUAUCCUUUGUUGCCAGCGGUCCGGCCGGGAACUCAAAGGAGACUGCCAGUGAUAAACUGGAGGAAGGUGGGGAUGACGUCAAGUCAUCAUGGCCCUUACGACCAGGGCUACACACGUGCUACAAUGGCGCAUACAAAGAGAAGCGAUCUCGCGAGAGCAAGCGGACCUCAUAAAGUGCGUCGUAGUCCGGAUUGGAGUCUGCAACUCGACUCCAUGAAGUCGGAAUCGCUAGUAAUCGUGGAUCAGAAUGCCACGGUGAAUACGUUCCCGGGCCUUGUACACACCGCCCGUCACACCAUGGGAGUGGGUUGCAAAAGAAGUAGGUAGCUUAACCUUCGGGAGGG
rnacentral:rRNA from 1 species